rnacentral:tRNA from 1 species
GCCGGGGUGGCGAAAGGGCAGCCGCGGGGGACUUAAAAUCCUCUGGUGGAGACACCGUGUGGGUUCGAAUCCCACCCCCGGUACCA